rnacentral:rRNA from 1 species
CCUACGGGGGGCAGCAGUGAGGAAUAUUGGUCAAUGGGCGCAAGCCUGAACCAGCCAUGUCGCGUGCAGGAUGACGGCCCUAUGGGUUGUAAACUGCUUUUUUACAGGAAUAAUUGCAGAUACGUGUAUUUGUUUGAAGGUACUGUAGGAAUAAGGAUCGGCUAACUCCGUGCCAGCAGCCGCGGUAAUACGGAGGAUUCGAGCGUUAUCCGGAUUUAUUGGGUUUAAAGGGUCCGUAGGCGGGCUAAUAAGUCAGUGGUGAAAUCCCAGAGCUCAACUCUGGAACUGCCAUUGAUACUGUUAGUCUUGAACUUAGUUGAGGUGGGCGGAAUACGUUAUGUAGCGGUGAAAUGCAUAGAUAUAACGUAGAACACCGAUUGCGAAGGCAGCUCACUAAACUAACAUUGACGCUGAUGGACGAAAGCGUGGGGAGCGAACAGGAUUAGAUACCCUGGUAGUCCACGCCGUAAACGAUGAUUACUCGUUGUGCACAAUACAUCGUGCGUGACUGAGCGAAAGCAUUAAGUAAUCCACCUGGGGAGUACGUUCGCAAGAAUGAAACUCAAAGGAAUUGACGGGGGCCCGCACAAGCGGAGGAACAUGUGGUUUAAUUCUAUGAUACGCGAGGACCUUACCUGGACUUAAAUGUAGAUUGACCCUCUUAGAAAUAGGAGUUCUCUUCGGAGCAAUUUACAAGGUGCUGCAUGGUUGUCGUCAGCUCGUGCCGUGAGGUGUCGGGUUAAGUCCCAUAACGAGCGCAACCCCUAUCGUUAGUUGCUAGCAGGUAAUGCUGAGGACUCUAGCGAGACUGCCACCGUAAGGUGAGAGGAAGGUGGGGAUGACGUCAAAUCAGCACGGCCCUUACGUCCAGGGCUACACACGUGUUACAAUGGCCGAUACAAAGGGCAGCUACCAGGUGACUGGAUGCUAAUCUCCAAAGUCGGUCUCAGUUCGGAUCGGAGUCUGCAACUCGACUCCGUGAAGUUGGAUUCGCUAGUAAUCGCAUAUCAGCAACGAUGCGGUGAAUACGUUCCCGGGCCUUGUACACACCGCCCGUC